rnacentral:rRNA from 1 species
CGAUAUCGACGAGUUAUCCUGGCUCAGAACGAACGCUGGCGGCAUGCCUAACACAUGCAAGUCGAACGAAGCCUUCGGGCUUAGUGGCGCACGGGUGCGUAACGCGUGGGAACCUACCAUCAGGUUCGGAAUAACAGUUAGAAAUGACUGCUAAUACCGGAUAAUGUCUUCGGACCAAAGAUUUAUCGCCUUUUGAUGGGCCCGCGUUGGAUUAGCUAGUUGGUGGGGUAAAGGCCUACCACGGCGACGAUCCAUAGCUGGUCUGAGAGGAUGAUCAGCCACACUGGGACUGAGACACGGCCCAGACUCCUACGGGAGGCAGCAGUGGGGAAUAUUGGACAAUGGGCGAAAGCCUGAUCCAGCAAUGCCGCGUGAGUGAUGAAGGCCUUAGGGUUGUAAAGCUCUUUUACCAGGGAUGAUAAUGACAGUACCUGGAGAAUAAGCUCCGGCUAACUCCGUG